ACGAACGCUGGCGGCGUGCUUAACCCAUGCAAGUCGAACGGAAAGGCCCCUUUGGGGGUCCUCGAGUGGCGAACGGGUGAGUAACACGUGAGUAACCUGCCCUUGACUUCGGGAUAACUUCAGGAAACUGGGGCUAAUACCGGAUAGGAAUCCUUGCUGCAUGGUGGGGGUUGGAAAGCUUCGGCGGUUUUGGAUGGACUCGCGGCUUAUCAGCUUGUUGGUGGGGUAGUGGCUUACCAAAGCUUUGACGGGUAGCCGGCCUGAGAGGGCGACCGGCCACAUUGGGACUGAGAUACGGCCCAGACUCCUACGGGAGGCAGCAGUGGGGAAUAUUGCACAAUGGGCGGAAGCCUGAUGCAGCAACGCCGCGUGCGGGAUGACGGCCUUCGGGUUGUAAACCGCUUUCAGCAGGGGCGAAGCUUGUGGUGACGGUACCUGCAGAAGAAGCACCGGCUAACUACGUG
rnacentral:rRNA from 1 species